UACGUAGGGUGCGAGCGUUUGUCCGGAAUUAUUGGGCGUAAAGAGCUUGUAGGCGGUUUGUCGCGUCUGCCGUGAAAUUUCGAGGCUCAACCUCGAACUUGCGGUGGGUACGGGCAGACUAGAGUGUGGUAGGGGAGACUGGAAUUCCUGGUGUAGCGGUGAAAUGCGCAGAUAUCAGGAGGAACACCGAUGGCGAAGGCAGGUCUCUGGGCCUUACCUGACGCUGAGGAGCGAAAGCGUGGGGAGCGAACAGG
rnacentral:rRNA from 1 species